UACGAAGGGGGCUAGCGUUGUUCGGAAUCACUGGGCGUAAAGCGCACGCAGGCGGAUUGAUAAGUCAGGGGUGAAAUCCCGGAGCUCAACUUCGGAAUUGCCUUUGAUACUGUCUAUCUUCGAGUUCGGGAGAGGUUGGCGGAAUUCCUAGUGUAGAGGUGAAAUUCGUAGAUAUUAGGAAGAACACCAGUGGCGAAGGCGGCCAACUGGCCCGAUACUGACGCUUAUGUGCGAAAGCGUGGGGAGCAAACAGG
rnacentral:rRNA from 1 species